rnacentral:rRNA from 1 species
CCUACGGGAGGCAGCAGUGGGGAAUUUUGGACAAUGGGCGAAAGCCUGAUCCAGCAAUGCCGCGUGAGUGAAGAAGGCCUUCGGGUUGUAAAGCUCUUUUGUCAGGGAAGAAACGGUGAGAGCUAAUAUCUCUUGCUAAUGACGGUACCUGAAGAAUAAGCACCGGCUAACUACGUGCCAGCAGCCGCGGUAAUACGUAGGGUGCAAGCGUUAAUCGGAAUUACUGGGCGUAAAGCGUGCGCAGGCGGUUUUGUAAGUCUGAUGUGAAAUCCCCGGGCUCAACCUGGGAAUUGCAUUGGAGACUGCAAGGCUAGAAUCUGGCAGAGGGGGGUAGAAUUCCACGUGUAGCAGUGAAAUGCGUAGAUAUGUGGAGGAACACCGAUGGCGAAGGCAGCCCCCUGGGUCAAGAUUGACGCUCAUGCACGAAAGCGUGGGGAGCAAACAGGAUUAGAUACCCUGGUAGUCCACGCCCUAAACGAUGUCUACUAGUUGUCGGGUCUUAAUUGACUUGGUAACGCAGCUAACGCGUGAAGUAGACCGCCUGGGGAGUACGGUCGCGAAGAUUAAAACUCAAAGGAAUUGACGG